rnacentral:rRNA from 1 species
AUACGUAGGGAGCGAGCGUUGUCCGGAAUUACUGGGUGUAAAGGGAGCGUAGGCGGGAGUGCAAGUCAGAUGUGAAAUACAUGGGCUCAACCCAUGGGCUGCAUUUGAAACUGCAUUUCUUGAGUGAAGUAGAGGUAAGCGGAAUUCCUGGUGUAGCGGUGAAAUGCGUAGAUAUCAGGAGGAACACCGGUGGCGAAGGCGGCUUACUGGGCUUUUACUGACGCUGAGGCUCGAAAGCGUGGGGAGCAAACAGGAUUAGAUACCCUGGUAGUCCACGCUGUAAACGAUGACUACUAGGUGUGGGGGGACUGACCCCUUCCGUGCCGCAGUUAACACAAUAAGUAAUCCACCUGGGGAGUACGGCCGCAGGGUUGAAACUCAAAGGAAUUGACGGGG